GCCAGUGUGUGUAGUGGUUUGAAUAUUGGACUAUGACCCUGGAAACCAGGGUUCGAUUCCCUGCUUAGCCA
rnacentral:tRNA from 1 species